GCUCAGAGGUGUAAUCAGCGAUCAACCCCAUUCAGGAAACUGUUCUCCCAUGACAGACGGAUGAUAUAUAGAGAUUUUUCGCCCAUUUCUCCUUCACAUGUUGGCCAGGAAAAGCGGUUGUUCGAAGCGUCUCUUGAGUUUCAUCUGCAGGUUUCUUUCUAGGCACACUCAGGACAAGAGCAGUCUGGUCAGAGGUCGCAGCAGUGGCGGUUAUACGAUAACCGCUGUCCCACCUCCGAUGAACACCUUCACUGGGGUAUAAAAAGUCCAGCUCGACCACCUGAUCCGCAAAGCCUGCAUUACGGGUCAUGACGACCGCCCAUCUGCUUCCCGCGGUGGCCAUGGACGUGACAGAGAAGCCCUCCUUCCAUUUCUUACUAAUCCAUUUGAAGGGGAAGGAGUCGCUGACUUUGUACGACUGCUGUGAGUACUGUGUACCUUUGGACAUUACAACCAAAGAGCUGCCGCUGUCUGUCCCCGCUAACGCAGUUAUGUAAUAGUUCUUCUCCCAUUGCUCCAUUAUCCAUUCCUUGCGCAGAAAAGUCGGUGUGAGAUCAUAAAGUUGAGCAGUAAAACUAGUGCCAGCAUCCAUAACCAGAGCCCACAGAUUAGUGGCAGACGCAACACAGCUAAUGAAUAAACCGUCUUCGUUUCCUUUCUCAACAUGUUGAGCGAGCCUUCCGUCUGAGACAUUGAAGUGAUAUCUCUGUUUCAUAGGCUUCCUGGCAUUGUAGAUACUAAUCCACUGGGUUGCAGGCAUCCCCAUCCGGAUCUUCUUCUUUGGUUGCUCAUCCUCCUCAUCUUCCAUCAUCA
rnacentral:misc_RNA from 1 species